CCUACGGGUGGCAGCAGUGAGGAAUAUUGGUCAAUGGGCUUACGCCUGAACCAGCCAAGUCGCGUGAGGGAAGACUGCCCUAUGGGUUGUAAACCUCUUUUGUCAGGGAGCAACGCCGGCUACGUGUAGCCGGACUGAGAGUACCUGAAGAAAAAGCAUCGGCUAACUCCGUGCCAGCAGCCGCGGUAAUACGGGGGAUGCGAGGGUUAUCCGGAUUUAUUGGGUUUAAAGGGUGAGUAGGCGGAAUGCCAAGUCAGCGGGAAAAGCGCGGGGCUCAAACGCGCUCCGCCGUUGAAACUGGCGGUCGUGAGUGGGCGAGAAGUAUGCGGAAUGCGGGGGGUAGCGGUGAAAUGCAUAGAUAGCACGCAGAACUCCGAUUGCGAAGGCAGCAUACCGGCGCCCAACUGACGCUGAAGCACGAAAGCGUGGGUAUCGAACAGGAUUAGAUACCCCUGUAGUC
rnacentral:rRNA from 1 species